UGCACCAGAGAAAUUGUUGUA
rnacentral:siRNA from 1 species